rnacentral:misc_RNA from 1 species
GAUGAAGAACGCAGCGAAAUGCGAUAAGUAGUGUGAAUUGCAGAAUUCAGUGAAUCAUCGAAUCUUUGAACGCACAUUGCGCCCGCCAGCAUUCUGGCGGGCAUGCCUGUUCGAGCGUCAUUUCAACCCUCAAGCUCUGCUUGGUGUUGGGGCCCUACGGUUGACGUAGGCCCUUAAAGGUAGUGGCGGACCCUCUCGGAGCCUCCUUUGCGUAGUAACUAACGUCUCGCAUUGGGAUUCGGAGGGACUCUUGCCGUAAAACCCCCAAAUUUUCUAAUGGUUGACCUCGGAUCAGGUAGGAAUACCCGCUGAACUUAAGCAUAUCAAUAAGCGGAGGA